rnacentral:rRNA from 1 species
UACGAAGGGGGCUAGCGUUGCUCGGAAUUACUGGGCGUAAAGCGCACGUAGGCGGAUCUUUAAGUCGGGGGUGAAAUCCCGGGGCUCAACCCCGGAACUGCCUUUGAUACUGGUAGUCUCGAGUCCGGAAGAGGUGAGUGGAAUUCCGAGUGUAGAGGUGAAAUUCGUAGAUAUUCGGAGGAACACCAGUGGCGAAGGCGGCUCACUGGUCCGGUACUGACGCUGAGGUGCGAAAGCGUGGGGAGCAAACAGG